GAUCCACUGGGGGGCAGCAGGAGAUGAGAACCGAGAAUAAUAGGGACUGACCCUGGAGGCAGGAGCCAGCCCCACCCUCUGUCCCCGAGUCUCCCCUCGCUGCCCCUCCCCUUUGGACUAUGUGCCUCCUAAGGUCUCCACAUAAACGUUACACGAGGUCUGCGGAACCCAGAACUGCCCGCAAACAGAGAGAGGUGGGAUGCCUGGGAACCCCUUUCUGGGGUUCUUGGGGGCGUAGGAUGGAAGGGUGAGAUAAAUCCACCAAAGGAAGGUCCUGAAGGACAGAGCAGAAAUGAGGCCCAGUUUCCUGGGCUUCAAGCCCCUACUGCUGGUGACCCGGCCCACCCCCCAGGUCUCUCACUCGGUCUGUCCUGGACUGUGGCCCAGAGCAUGCAGUUUAAUCCAGCACCUCCAAGCUCAGAUGCAGGUGGCUCUUGGACCACACUUUGGGAAACCCUGAGUGAGACCGGGGCAGGGAGAAGGAAUGGGAGUCCCGGCUCCAGGGCUGCAGGAGUGGUCAAGUGUUACCUCUGCGCUUUCGACCGCAGCGGGAGGCUUUCCUAUCACCCCUACCUACAGCGGGGGAACCAAAGCCCAGACAGUGAAGUCCUCUGCCAAGGUCCUAGCAUGCUUGAGGCAAGAAAUCGAGUCACAGAGCAUCCACUUCCCCAAGGAAGGGAUCUUUGUCUACAUGGCUCAGAGCACAGAGCUGUGCACGCCGGAGGCACCUGGAAAGCAGCUCCUGGACGCGUGAAUGACCACCCCAUUCCUGUCGGCCACCCAUCUUUGCUUUUUUUUCCACACAACUCACUUCCAGUCCUGCAGGAAAUCCUGUGGGCUUGACCAAAAUACACCCAGAAUCCGACCUCUUCGGACCCUCCACCCCCAACUCCAGGCACCCUGGUCUCAGCCCUUAUCAAGCCUGCAACAGCCUAACUGGCCUCCAGUCCACCACUGCCCGGUGUCUACGCAGUUGUCAGAGAGAUGCUGUUAAAACGUCAGUCAGCACCCCACACUCUCCCACUGGGAACACCACGGCAGCCUUUCUCUGGCAGGAUCCUGGGGGGAAGCAAGCCCUCGAGCCCUCUGGGAGCCAGUGUCUUCCAGGAUGACCUUUCCUCACCACCCUAUUUAAAGCUCAAGCACACUCCCCAUUCACCUUCCCUGCUGGGAAGUCUCCAGGGCACUCUAACACACAGCGUGCUUAGCUACUCGAUAACCACCUGUCUCCCCCAGCUAGACGGAAGCUCCACAAAGGCAGGGCCCUCUGUUUUGUUCCCCGAGAUGUAAUAUUCCCUGUGCUUAGAACAAAGCCUGCCAAAGAAUGAAUACUCAAUGAGUAUUUUGUGACUGGA